UCCAGGUGGCUCAGUGGUAAAGAAACUGCCUGCGAUGCAGGAGACCCAGGUUCAACCCCUGGGUCAGGAA
rnacentral:tRNA from 1 species